UUAGGAAUAGGGAAUGAGAGAUUGAUUCCGAGAAGGGGGUUAGGAAUCAAUCUCCCACUCCUUAGAUUACUAAAUUCGCCCCCACCAAAAUUUUAAAAUUUCAAAAAUACCCUCUAUUAAAUUUUAAAAAAUAUAAAUAAAACAAGCAAACAUUUCACAAACAAAUUGUAGCCAAAAAGCCUCCAUCGAACCCUCGCAAACAAGCCUCCAUCACAGCACCGGGAUCGGGCACCGAAGCAACACCUCCCCGAAUUGCGUUGAGGAGCAGCACAAAUUGCGUCAUUAGCGCUUUCACAUCAUUAGAGCACUAAAGCAGUAGCUCCUCGAAUCGCAGCAGCAACACUCGCCAUCUCGCCCCUGUCGGCAACCGUUGUAACCCACGAUGAUGAUGAUUAUUGUUCUUAUUAUUAUUUAAGAAAUAAAUUAUGGUGAUUUUUGAUAUUAUUGUGUUGUUGAUGAUGAUUUUUUAUUCCGAUUAUUUUGUUGUUGUUGUU
rnacentral:lncRNA from 1 species